AGUGAACGCUGGCGGCGUGCCUAAUACAUGCAAGUCGAACGGAGUGGCGCACGGGUGAGUAAUGUAUAGCUAAUCUGCCCUACACUAGAGGACAACAGAUGGAAAAGACUGCUAAUACUCGAUAGUGUAGGAUGAGGCUAUAUUGUAUCAGCUAGGUGGUGAGGUAAUGGCGCACCAAGGCUAUGACGCAUAACUGGUCUGAGAGGAUGAUCAGUCACACUGGACGUGAGGCACGGUCCAGACUCAUACCAGAGGGGGCAGUAGGGUAUAGUGCCCAAGGGGGGAAACCCUAAAGCACCAACGCGGCGUAGAGGAUGACAAUUUUCGGAGCGUAAACUCCUUUUGUUAGGGAAGCGGUACCUAACGAAUAAGCACCGGCUAACUCCGUGCCAGCAGCCGCGGUAAUAC
rnacentral:rRNA from 1 species